rnacentral:rRNA from 1 species
AUGAAGCAGCUCCACAAGUCCCCCACCCACGCGCCGUCGCCGGCGCACGCGCCGGCGUCCAAGAUCUCCAAGCCCGCGCGCCCCGGGCCGCGCACCUGGGUCGGCUACCUCCUCCGCGAGCAGCGCCUCCUCUUCGUCCUCCUCGGUGCGCUCAUCGCCACCUCCUUCUUCCUCCUCCGCCCCUACCUCUUCUCCCUGUCAGCCUCCAACCCCACCGAGCGAAGCCCCAUCUUCUCCUUCACCGGCCACUCGUCGGACUCCCGCGGCGUCCCCGCGGGCUUCCGCCCGCCGCCUCGCCGCGUCGUCGUCACCGGCGGGGCGGGCUUCGUGGGCAGCCACCUCGUCGACAGGCUGCUGGAGCAGGGGGACAGCGUGAUCGUGGUGGACAACUUCUUCACCGGGAGGAAGGAGAACGUCGCGCACCACCUGCGGAACCCCAGGUUCGAGCUUCUCCGACACGAUGUCGUCGAGCCCAUCCUUCUCGAGGUCGACCGGAUCUACCACCUCGCGUGCCCCGCAUCGCCCGUGCACUACAAGUACAACCCCAUCAAGACGAUCAAGACAAAUGUCAUGGGAACCUUGAAUAUGUUGGGUCUGGCAAAGCGAAUCGGUGCAAGGUUCUUGUUAACUAGCACAAGUGAAGUUUAUGGUGACCCACUUGAGCAUCCGCAGAAGGAGACUUAUUGGGGGCAUGUUAAUCCUAUAGGUGUUAGGAGUUGUUAUGACGAGGGCAAAAGAACAGCAGAGACUUUGACUAUGGACUACCAUCGUGGUGGUGGUGUUGCGGUACGAAUUGCUCGUAUUUUCAAUACAUAUGGCCCUCGUAUGUGCCUGGAUGAUGGCCGCGUGGUUAGCAAUUUUGUUGCACAGGCACUGCGCAAACAUCCAAUGACAGUAUAUGGUGAUGGAAAACAAACUCGAAGUUUUCAGUAUGUUUCUGAUCUGGUUGCUGGAUUGAUGGCUCUGAUGGAGAGUGAACAUAUUGGCCCUUUCAAUCUGGGAAACCCAGGAGAGUUCACCAUGUUGGAACUUGCAGAGGUUGUGAAGGAAACAAUUGACCCAAUGUCGACAAUUGAAUUCAAGCCCAACACUGCUGAUGAUCCCCAUAUGAGAAAGCCCGAUAUUACCAAGGCCAAGCAACUGCUAGGUUGGGAGCCAAAGGUAUCUCUGAAGGAAGGCCUUCCCUUGAUGGUGACAGAUUUCCGCAAAAGGAUCUUGGAUGAGUAA